rnacentral:lncRNA from 1 species
GUCGGAACUACCUAUAGUAGUCUGUACGACUACGAUGGUGAAAUAAUACGCUCUAGUGCUUCUUUCAUCAAUCAUCUGUGCACAUAAUCUAAGGUCACCUACCAGUCGGAACCCCUCUAAUGGUCUGUACGACUGGCAUGUCGGAACCACCUCUAGUGGUAUGUACGACAUCCACCUACUUGGAUCCAAGGCGAGCGUGCGGUAUGGUGAAUAAUAUAAGCACUAACACCUAGGGUGCAGGUUAUGAGCUUCCAAUACAAUUCACAUAAAAUAAAUCGUAUGAAUAAUGUAAAAACUCAGUUGUGCGUCAACAGCGUCAAUUCACAUAUAUAUGCAUCAAUUAUGAAUUCAAAUGUCUCAUCGAUUGUAUGCAUGGCAUUUUAAAACAUAUUUUCAUAUAAUUACAUUUUCUGGGAAAAACAGUAGUAUAUAGGUAAUAUGAAAACAAAACUGCCCACUCACUGAUAAGUCGAUGG